UCUGCAGGGCCUUUAAACUGAGGCUGGCUGGAGGACAUGAGUCCAGGGGAUACUAAAAAGAGUUCUUGAUGAUGGGCAAGUGGCACAGGAGGCUGGAGAUGGAACCAAGGUCUAUCCACGAAGAGAGAGCUCUGAGGACAGCUCUCACUAUCCUUGUGGAAGCUGCAGAGCUGUGCAAUUAGUCCAGGAGAAGGAGCACGGGGAACAAGGUACUCUAGGGCCAUGAUUACGAUGCUGGCAAGUCUAAUGGAGCCGAGGCUGACCCUGCCCUUGUUGAUAUUUACAGGGGAAUAAAAGCCAGAGACCGCUUCAUCUCUUUGUCUCUUCAUAUCCCCUCUAAAGAGGGUGGAACCGAGUUUUGUACAUUUAAAAGUGACAUUUAAUUAAUCACGUCAGAAGAUGGCAGGGCUGGAAGAGACUUGAGACUGUCUAACCCAAACUCCUAAUUUAACGGCGAGGAGGUACUCCCAGGAAGGUUAGCUAAUCUGCCAAGAUCCCGUGUAGUAAAUGAUGCUGGCACCUUCCGGCUGUGACCAGUCUGCCUGCUGAACUCUGAGUGGGUACAGAGAGUGCUAGGCGGGCGUAAAGAAGAGAGAAGAGAGGCGGGCGGUAGUUUGUGUGCGUGCAGGCCUGCAACAUGGUAUAGUAUGAAGAAGGUCACGUGCCCAGUUAUGCAGUAAGGAUGCCAAGAUGUCAGAUGGGCAGGGGCUGUGGUAGGAUCUUCCUAGGUCUAUAUGGAGGUACGGCUUGCAGCACCAUUGGCAAGAAUGGUUGAGGCAUUGUCUGGACUCCGUGGUUUGCUCCGUGCUUGAUUCAUGCUAUUAAGCCACAGGCACACUUGAGGAGCGCCCACAAAUAUGCCAAUUACCUCUUUUGAUGUUUACAGCUAAUGCUGCGGAUGUUCCUGAACCCUGGGGUCUUCUUCCCCCAAGUAAACCUGGUAGAUUCUUCCCAGGAAAAGACACACUAUUCUAUGAUUGUGAAUAGCCUGAUAGGAACCCACCGGAUGCAGGAAGAAAGAAAGGAGGGAAGCUUGCAGGAGGCAGUGCUGGUAGCUCCUGGAGUCCUGCUGCCUUGGCUACCGAUAAAAGACUCCUCUGCAAGGUUGCUGCAGGAACCGAGAGCUGUCCUAUCCCCCGGGGAUAUUUACUCAGAAGCAACAGAAGCAUGUGGCCAGUCUUGGGUAAGGCAUGUAGCUUUCUGCCAUCGUGGAGACUUCAACAUCCCAGCUGCAACAUUUCCGACAGAGGCCACCACCUGAGACUUCGGGGACUACACAAAGGUGGAAGGGGUGGUGGGGAUAGCAGCUAGGGGCAGGACAGUGUGGGGCUCUCUUCCAUGGCUCAACAUUGUUUCUGGGAGGAAAGAGGGCUUGGAGAGGUGGUAUUGGGGGAAUGAAAUUCAUACACAGCAGGAAUUAUGUGGUCCAGUGGUGCCUCCAGCCGUGACCCAAUGGAUUCAUUAGUAUUAGUAUAUUUAUUCUCUCUCUUGUCUGUCUGUCUGUCUGUCUGUCUCUCUAUGCAUGUCAACAGUGUUUCCCCUCUGACUCCAAAUCAAGAUUCAGCUCUACCCCAUGUCCUGUCAAUCUCCACGCUCUGUGCAAAUCUGUCUCAUCCUUCCUUCCACCUGUCCCAAAGCCCUCCUCUGCUCCUUGGAGACAAGCUCACCAUCUCUCCUUGGAGACCAGCUCUAGGUCUACCACAAUCAUGGAACUGAACACAGAUGACGUCCUACACUACACUACACUGAUUUACUUCAGCCUCCACUUACUACCCUCGUUGGAAACAAUUCAGCCCCAGCAUCAAGGACCUUGGGACUUCUCCCGAAUGAAUUCAGGUCAUGAGUGAGCAUUAGUCUGCCAUGGGUCCCCACCCCUUGCAUAUUCACUGUGAAUCCGAACUAAACCGUAACUGGUUACUUUAUUUAAACCCCGCAUAGAGCCUUCUCUUUUAAUAAAACAGAAUCCGUUAAGGAUUAUAAACAAGCAGUGUUUUAUGAACUAAAACUGCAGUGCACUAGUCACUCAAGGGCAAACAUUGGGCUCUGGGCGGUCGAGCCAGCUAUAAAUAAAGAUAAGGCCCUGCCAGGCGGGGGCCUCGGUAGAGUAAUUGCUGCCUUCACAAUCAGUCUCCCCACUCUUCCUGCAGGGCCACAAAUCACCAUGGUAUUGGGUCACUGCCCACUGGAUUCAGCCCCGAGACAGAGAGAUAGGAAAGCGGUUCAUUAGCACCAAGACUGAGUGUCUAGGCUCCAGAGGAAAGUGAGGUAUGUACCCGCCCUACAAUGUGCACACACUUCACAUGGCUGCAGGAGGGGGUCAACAGCAUGGAGCCUUUACAAGGGAGUUCUACCCAGCAUCCACAUCUGCAGUUGGUUGGGGAGGAAGAACUCACCCUGCAAGCUACCUGAGGACACCUCUCUCACUUGGACACGAAGCCCAUCUGACCCAGGGAAGAGACUGAAAAGACACAAAGGAACGUUAUAAAGAGGAGAAAAGCAUGUCCCACAGUCCUCAUUCCUCUGUGAGCCGCUCAGCUGCUAUCUCUUUGCUUUGGAGUCUUCCGUAGUAGCAUGACAUCAUCGACCACGACAUCAGUUUCCAAACACCAGUGAAGUGUCAGCCGUGCCUCCCAGCACCAAUAAUGUGAGAUUCCAGUGUUUUGUUACAGAGGAAAUACAGUUUGCAUUAGUAUAUCCCGAGGCUUACAGAGGUUAAGAACCUCUGUCAAGGUUAUGUGGAUAGCAACUUGUAUGGCUACAGUAUAAACUCAGUCUGACACCGUGGUCCAUGCUCAGACCCACACAAUAUUACUGCGGUAUGGUCUCCAUUUCCACCUACGUCAGCAGUUGAACGUGUGAGCAUGCAUGUGUCUAUGUGUAUGAGAGAGGCAGUAAGAGAGCUGGUUUACAACAGGGAGACUGAAUUUUUUUUUCUUUUUUUUUUUCUUUUUUUUUUCAGAGCUGGGGACCGAACCCAGGGCCUUCCACUUGCUAGGCAAGUGCUCUACCACUGAGCUAAAUCCCCAACCCUGAGACUGAAUUAAAAACAUGGUAAAAAAUAAAUAAAUAAUGGAGACUGAAUGCUCGGAGGAGAAGGCCCUACGGUCUCACACUGCCCAUAGCAGUAAAGUACCAGGCUUGGAUAGCCAUUCCCGGGGAAAAGCCAACUGUGUGGAAGGAAUUCAUCGAACCUCGAGUGUGGAUCACACACAUGUUUGUGUGCGUCUCAUCUUCACCAGAGUUCUAUGGUGCAGAACGAGAAAGGGAUUGCCGUCUUGAUUUUUGGGGUGGGAGCACUGAGGCCCAUUGCACUGUGAGCUUGCCUCUCUCUCUCAUGACGUUCCCGCCCACAGCACCCUCACCUCCAUUUUCUAUUGCUUGGCAGUGUCACUUGCCACUGAUGCAGUCUGUGCACUGGAGUUUCCCUGGGACCAGAAUGCCCCCAAAUUCCCACAGGGGCCUCAGAGCAGAGCUCUACUCCUCCCCUCAGUUUGGAGGCCCCUUCCAGGGCAUCUUCUUUGACCUUUCUGGUGGCCGUUUUCUGCUCUCACAACCCUGCACUGUUCCUUCCUGAGGAAUUACGUAGUUUGCCGCUUCCCACAACUAGCUGAGGCGCCCGUUUCUUGAGCAUCCAGUUCUCGGGGCUACAAACCCCUAAAGGUGCAGGACGCCCUCCUUCACUCAAAUCUCAUCUCAAGGAGAAUUUAACACCAAGCUGGGGAAUUCAGUGGAAGCCAGGAGAAGGAAUAUAUAAAUCUAGAAUGACAGAGAGAUACAGCGUGUCCCUAACAUGUGGGGUCUGAGGGACUGUGGAAGGAUGGUCUCUUUAGAAGCUAUAUCCCAAAAACCUCUCAAGGGCCCAGGUCUCUGAUCUUAAUCUUGGCCUUCAGGACGACUUCUAUGGCAGAAAGAUGAGCACUGGAUGACAUUCCCCAAACCAAAACCCUACUACCUGGGUAGAAAGAAAUGGGCUCCAUCCUACUACGGCAGAAGCUCAAGUGAUCGGAGAAAGGGAAAGCCACGGGCUAAGAUACUACCAGCCUGGGAUGCAGCCUCUUGGCUUCUUUAAUCUUCCAGAGAAAACUCCUUUUAUAACCAGCCCAAUUCUGUUUAACUGUGGGUCUUUUGUCCUUCCCCCUUACAACUGCCACCUUUUAAAACCAAGUCACAAAAUUAAUUGCCCCUUAAUGAAGCAGGGUGGCGAUUAAGGGCAGUGAGCCUUGUGAAGAAGGAGAAACACAGUUGUUGGAGGCGUACCAUCAGGAGCCGAGCUUCGGAGGCAUCGUUCUGGUUGUAAUUAUUUUCCAAGGCUGCGUGACACCUUCUUAGACCUGGCCAGAGCUGCCAGGCUCCGCAGAAAGCCAUUGUUCCCUCAGAGUUAAUUAGAGUCCAAUUUGGAGCUUCCUGUCUCCCGGACUGGAGAGGAAGUACAGUUUAUUACUGCUCUGUGCCCACCAGGUCCACUGAGGACAAGGACACAACAGACUCUCACCUGGUCCGUUCUAGUCUGUGCAGCGCAGAUGUGCCCAGAGGGGACAGAUGUGCAUUGGCUGAAGAAGUCUACAGCUGCAGGUCAGCCCUGGCAAGGCAAGCCAAAGGAGGCCUCGAGCUCAUGGGAGAAAGAACCCCAGGUUGAACUCUGGAGACCUUUGCUCCAGUGCCUGCUUAUACAUUGCAACUGUGUAAAGUCAUCACUCAAAAGAAAAAAUUAUGCUGACAGAGGCAAUGGCUACCUUCCUCGUGGCUCAGAGAACAAAUGCCUGGGUUCCCCAUUAGCAACAGUGUUCUGACGCUUGACAACAUUUCACGGGAAAUGGAAGCUUCCUUUUGAGCAGCCACAAAGGAAUCUUCUAACAAUAAGCUCUUAGGUGACAAGAGUAAAGGCAGUCACAGUGGCCUACUCGCUCAGCAACUGAUUAAAGAAAUGACAACA